rnacentral:pre_miRNA from 1 species
AGUGGGAUAGCUGGGUCAAAUGGUGGUCCCAUUCCAAGUUUUCUGAGGAAUCUCCAUACUGCUUUCCAGAGUGGUUGCACCAGUUUGCAGUCCCACCAGCAGU